rnacentral:rRNA from 1 species
AGAGUUUGAUCCUGGCUCAGAUUGAACGCUGGCGGCAUGCCUUACACAUGCAAGUCGAACGGCAGCACGGAGCUUGCUCUGGUGGCGAGUGGCGAACGGGUGAGUAAUAUAUCGGAACGUACCCUAGAGUGGGGGAUAACGUAGCGAAAGUUACGCUAAUACCGCAUACGAUCUAAGGAUGAAAGUGGGGGAUCGCAAGACCUCAUGCUCGUGGAGCGGCCGAUAUCUGAUUAGCUAGUUGGUAGGGUAAAAGCCUACCAAGGCAUCGAUCAGUAGCUGGUCUGAGAGGACGACCAGCCACACUGGAACUGAGACACGGUCCAGACUCCUACGGGAGGCAGCAGUGGGGAAUUUUGGACAAUGGGCGAAAGCCUGAUCCAGCAAUGCCGCGUGAGUGAAGAAGGCCUUCGGGUUGUAAAGCUCUUUUGUCAGGGAAGAAACGGUGAGAGCUAA